UUUAGAUUUUGCCCUAAUUUCUUGACAGACCCAACAAACAAACCCAACAACACACACGCAGAGACUCUCUCUCUCUCUCUCUCUCUGUCUCUUUACCCUACCAUCCGACGAUCUACACAGUGAACCCAACACAUCCGACUCUUUCUCUCUCCCCUCUGUCGCUUCUCUCAACCUAAUUUCUGAUUCCUGGAACUUCCACACCGAUCGCAUCCUUCCCGUAAUCUCUCUCUCUCUCUCUCUCUCUCUCUCAACUCAUCUGAAUGUAUAGAGACUGGCUAGGUUACUUCAGAGACUAAUAGUUCUCUUUCCAAUUCUAGGGUUUUAUAUUUCUGUAAAAAUCUGAGAAAUUUGAGAUUGAUUAUAGUUUCUGACGGAUAAUACUGAUUUCACGGUGAUUGGGGUGAUCGGACUGCCUAGGGUAGGGAAGUCGACGAUAAUGAAUGAGCUCUAUGGCUUUGAUGGAACUUCACUUGGUUCAUUAUCCUUUACAGGCUAUUCAGAGUGUCCCCUUUUCUGAAUCCAAAGUGCGGCUUCUUGAAGCACAGAAGGCUGAACUAAGGUGUCUUUUACCUAGAAGCUUGAUGGAUCAUGAUUUUUUUUUUUCCACCAUCCUCACCACAGAAAGAAAGUAAUGAUAAAUGCGCCAUUGAUCGAUUUUGCAACUAUAGUUGGUGUGGGCAACGCAAGAUGCCUUCUUACGUAAAAAAGCUUGUUUUCCCUAAAGAUUUCUUCACUAACUUGAGGACAAUAGCCAAGCAGGAAGAUGAAAUUUAUCAAGUUUCAUCAUUGCUGCAACUUGAUUUUGAAAACAUGAAAACGAUAAAACAAAACCAAAAUCACAACCGAACAUAUUUCAGUUGGUAAUAUUGUCAUUAGAUCAACUAUGAGAAUUAAUGUUGUUUUGCAGGGACAUGAAAUGCAGAUGAGAGUGGUUAAUGGGCUUAAAUCUUUAGCCAAAAAAUUCCAGAGACCUUUUGUAUUUGUAUAUCUAGAAUUCUUCACAAGUUGGUGAAAAAUUAUAGCCAUGUCGAUUUAUGAUUUAGGUGGAUUCUUCAUUUGCUAUUUUUUGUCUCUAGUUAUUUAUUUAUUUAAGUGAAAAUAUUUGUCUGAUACAGUUAAGAUUAUAUAUCUGAGUUUGGCUCCAAAAGUUGAGUGAUUAUUCACUAAAGUAUGCAUGUCAUACCAUCAGGAUUACUCAAGUGGAUGUGAUGAUUUACUCAAGUUCAACUACAAGA